GUAAAAUUGACGGACGCAGUGUUAAUCGUAAUAAUUUACGUAUUUAGUUUUCAAACUUGAUACAUAUAUAGUGGUUAAAAGAAUUGAUAUGUUAAAGAGAAAAAAAGAAUGAACCUGUAAACUACAGAAGAAGCGUAUAAAUUAUCCGAAUAAAAAACACUUGUAAUUGAAAAGAAACAUUAUUAUAUAUAUAUAUAUCUAUUCGUGAAUAUUUAUAUUUAUAUUAGUCGAAAAAGAUGUUAAAGGAAAGUAAUUUUUUUACGCACAAUAUUGGUAUAGCAUGGAAAACGUUUGUUCGAGAAUCUUGCGAUGUUUCUCCGAUACCUUCGGAAAAGAAAGAACAUCAUCUGAAUUUCCAGGAAAAUCAAGCAAAAGAAGCUUACGAAGAAAUCAUUAAUGAAAGAAACGAUGUAAAUUCAAAGUUGCAACACAAUCAUUGUAAACAGAAAUCAUAUGUUACUAAGAGUACUACAAAGUCGCUUUCGAUAAAUGAUAGCAAUGAAAAAGUUAGACAUAACCAGAGGUCAGAUGAAAAGGUAACAAUUAAUAGUAUAUUGAAAGCGGUGGAACAAAAAGACUUUGAAUUUUUGUUAAAACAUGUAACGCGUGACAAUGUAAAUCUGAUGGAUGAUUUUGGUUGGACUCCUCUUAUGUCGGCUGCAUAUUGUGGCUACUUAGAUAUUGUAGAAUUUUUAUUAAGCCUUGGUGCCAACAGAAAAGCUAAAGAAAAAUCUGGUCUUACCGCGGCACAAUUAGCAUUGAAAAAAAAUUAUUUAAAUAUAGUUGCUCUACUCAAGAAGAGAACGGACUCUGUGUGUAACAAAACAAUAGAAGCAGAUACGUGUUCGUCACAAAUAAAUAUUGAUACUACCAUGCAAAAAAAGACAGAGUUAAUUGAACCUUUGAAGGAUAACAAUGGAACAUGGAACCAAAAUAUUGAUAAUGAACAAGACUGCUCAAGCGAUAGUACAGGGUUUUAUUGCGAAAUUUGUGAAGUUCACUUUUAUAAAACAACUUGGAAGAAACAUGAAACAUCUGUGCUUCAUAUAUUUAAUUCUAAACCAAAACUACCAAGCACCAUGUAUGGAAUAUCAAAGCAAAAUAAAGGUUAUCAAAUCCUGUUGAAUAAUGGAUGGGACGAAGAAUAUGGCCUUGGACCUUCAGGAAAAGGAAUAAAAUACCCUAUAAAAACCUGUCUAAAAACUGAUAGAAAAGGAUUAGGUCAAUUGGAUGAGAAAGAAUAUAGAGUGACGCAUUUCAAGCCCGGAGAUACAGCAGCGAUUGGCAGUCCUAAAAUAUUUAAGCAAAAGUGUUUAAAGAAAAAAGAUAGGGAAAAAUUAUUAAGCAGGGAAGCUAGAAAAGAGAGAGCACUGCGUGUUGCUCUGUCUUAAAGUAGCAUUAAACAAUUUGAAAAAUUAAAAUUUAACAUUUUUUCUAAGACUGAUUAUAAUGUAAUUGUUCAUUCGCUAUUUAAAUGUAUGAAAUUUGAUCAAGAGAAAGCUUUAAAACACAUACAACAAGUCGAAGAAAAGGCAGGGGAGAUUCUUACAGACCGUCAAGAAAUAAUUGCUUUGGACAAAAGAAGAAACGAGGAUAGAGUUGGAAUG